AAACAGGGGACGGCGGUGGCGAGUGGGGCGUUCACCGGGGGGAGGCGCUGUUCGUGCUGGCGCAGGCAAGAGGAAGCUCUCCAGCCUGCCUGCGGACCUCACCGCAGCCGUGGAGGGCGGCCGCGUCACGGACGACAUCGUGCAGUGCUUCGCGGAGAUGGAGCGCUCGCCACUGCUCCAUUGGCUGCCGGGCUUCCGAGGUUUCAGGGAGCGCCUCCUCGCCAACGACCUCUUCCUCGCCAAGCUUGCCAUGGAGAUGGGCGUCGGCAUGAUCGCCAAGACCGCUGCCGAGUACGAGAAUAGACGGGAGAACUUCGUCAAAGAAAUUGACAUCGUCAUCGCUGAUGUGGUACGCCUCUUGUCAACUGCUACUGAAGACGGGCAAUCUGUACAUAUGUUGAUAUAUAACCCUGACAUUUUAAAUCACAUGCAGAUGGGGAUAGCAGAAAAAACUCUUUGUUAUUGCAAUGCAAAGUGCAUCUUAUAUCUGAAUUUGAUAUAUUUUUCCCUUUUUACAUGUUGUCGCCACCGACCCCGCCAAAGCUGUCAUCGUCCUCCUCCGUAACGGACCAUACAGCAGCAUACACACACACAACCUAUUUUCAUCCUGUUUAUUCAAGAGAGAAUUUUGUUACACGUUAUUCAUCAUCUUGUCAUAAUUGUAGUCUGACCAUAAUGUACAACAAGUGACCCAGAUCGGAAUGUUCUUAUGAUAUUACUGUUCAAUAGAGGAACUAAUGUGCUUCUGGUGUGAUUCAUAAUUGUGGAAAGUUUUCUUUGUGGGGUGGGGCCGUCAUUCAAGGGAUGGACUUUCCCUUCAGGUUAUGGUCUUCUUUCUCUCAAGGAGAUGGUGAUUGCAAGGGGGGAGCGCAAGAUGCUGCUGAUGGAUUCAACAAUGAUUUUGGCAACAAUGUGAGAUCACUCCUUCUGCUCCUUCUAAUCUGUCAAAUUGAUUUAUUCAUUUUUGUAGCCUUGUUGAUAUCUUCUCUUCGUUCAAAUUAAAUAUCUAGCUGCUUUUCCAAACCCAACUCCUUUUUGCAGGAAGUUGAACUUGAUGAUGGACUAGAAAAGGAAGUAUGUCAGAGAUAUGCAUGUUAGCCCUUAAGCAUAUCAGAAUACAAUCAUUCAACACAUAAUUAGUCAGUUAUAUAUUAUACUCAUGUCCCCAACAAGGCAACAAUCGACCAGCUGUCUUUACAAUUAUGAGGAUAUAGAAGAUUAACUCAAGUCAGGGACCAAGCGAUAUGUGAGAUUGACAAGGAAAAGAACACUUGAGGUAUUAUUCAUUUCACUACCUUAAGCAUUUUGUAUUUAGUAAGGUGUCACUUGAUAGUGUUUAUUUCGGUAAGGUGCUCUGUUUGCCUUUUAAAGUCAGUCCCCGUCAAUACUUUCUCCUUUUCGGUUUGGACCAUGUCAGCUUGAAGAGAUGUUCUUUUUUUAUGAUCACUACGAAUAAAGGUGUGCAGAAUGAAUUCAGUUGGCAACUAGCCAUAUCACACAUGUGUUUGCUUCACGUUGUGCGUUUCAGUCCAUUGUAGGAAUAAUUUCAUUGAGAACUCGCAACGGCAGGUUGAAGAACAUUUUGGAGCACAAGUAGGGGUAAGUUCUAGAGUGUGGAGGAGCAACGCUGCGUCCUUGGAGAUUGCUCAUGGUUCUGAUUGUUUCCUAUUCAGAUUGAGGAACGUGUACUCGGCCCACCCUCAUUCCCAGUGAUUAGAUAGUUUGCAUUUAUAUGCAAAUUGUGUGAAUAAAUUUAUGUAUACCAAGGUAAAAAUGGGAUACUAAUAUUCAUUAUUGCACGUUUGCAAAUCUUUGAGACCUUGUAUUUGAUA